UGUCUUCAGGGCAGGGUGUAAUUCCCGACCGGCGGUAUAGUCCGCUAGCGCUCCGGCGCAUGAUUUGGUGCAAUUCCAAAACCGACCGUAUAGUCUGGAUGGAAGAAGGCA
rnacentral:ncRNA from 1 species